GUUGAAACACCGGCUCUCGUACGAUCAUCGAUGUUAAGCAAUGUCGAGAAUGGCCAGUACCUAGAUGGGUGACAGAAUGGGAAGACCUGGUGCUGUAAG